CAUUGCACUAGUCUCGGUCUGU
rnacentral:miRNA from 1 species